UGAAGCAUACUAUACUUCUUUUGUUCAAAAUUAACGAUCUUGAACGAUUAUUAUGUGCAUGGAUUUAGCUGAGUAAUGGCCGUGGACUCCGAUCUGUGUGGAUGGAAAGAGCUGCGUCUUCCGGAUGGGAAAAACCAGGCAGGUGUGGCGUAAAAAGGAUUUGGUCGAAAUCGGGAGUCUAGCGCGAUAAAGAGUUUGGCAUCCUUCACCAACGGCAGGCACCGCCUCAAACUGGAAGACUACGACACGCUGCAUCCGCAAAAGGCCGUUUUCGUCAAGGAGAGUCAACUCGACUUUCAUUCCAGCUUUCUCUCCACCAUCGUCGAUCGUCCGCAGAAAACUCUUCCGCAGCGGAAUGAAAGUUCGAUUCCGGGUGAUCCUAACGCAAUUAAAUCUGAAACUUUACACGGAUACAUUCACCGUCUCGCUGCGCAACGAAUAUAGAAGCCUCAAGUGCACCACCAUCGUAGUGGUCACGAAGCCGUAGAGCACAUCCAUCGCCACGGAAGUUCUCACGCUGAGACCAUCAUCGCGGAAAACAGAUUCAAAGUGGGGAUCAGCACGGGGCGGAUUCACGCCAGAGGAUCAGUGGGCGUCGGAAGGUCUGCUCACCUUCAAGAGGAUCCUAUUGGCGGGUUGGGCGAGGCGGCUUCAGAUUUCGCUCCCAAUUGCGGCAAACGUUUCCCUCGUCAAUCGCUGCCACUCGAUGACUGAGAGCCCCAAGCCAAUUGACGUCAUCUCAUCUCAAUAAAUUUUCUUUCUUUUUUUUUGUAAACGUGUGGAUAGCUUACCACCUGGGAGAUGAUGUGAAUGUGAAAGUAUACCUCUCAAAUAUAGUCAAAUUAUGAAAUUUCUCAAAUCUCUUUUGUUGAAUUCCAGUUAAGAAUCAAAUAAAUACGUAAA